rnacentral:misc_RNA from 1 species
GAAAUUAUAAAAAUUUACUUUGGCUGUAUAAUUUUACAUUUUCAUCGAUAAAGGAAACUCUAGUAUGAACAAAAUGCUAUACAUGAAUCAUGUACACUUAAAGGACUACAAAAUGGUAUACAAUUUUGUGUCUUUUCAUCUGAAUUGAUCGAAAAAUGGGUGUGCUGUGCUUGCACAUGCAUUCAAGUACUGGGUAUGCAACCACAUCUCGGUCUCUCUUGUUUCUUCUUGGCUUAGGCUGGCCAUUUGAUUUCCUGUGUAGCAUCUUGACUAUACUUCCAACUUCUGUGUCUGAAAGAGAGGAGUCUUUAAAGAAAGGAAUCAUUGCUCGCUUGUUGGGUUUUAUGAUUUUCCAAUGACCCACGUAGGUGUAACGGUAACUAGAGUUUGUAAUUUAAACUUAGAGUCCUAUUGUAUCUUCUCCUGCUUUGUUGUACUUGCCCAUAUAUUUUGUAACAACCUAGAUAAGAUGGAGAUCAUCUCAGUUGUAUAUAUUACCAACAGCAAUAAUGGAAAACUCUGUUCAGCCAAACUCUUAUAUGGCAUCAGAGCCCUCAAUUGCCUUCAAUGGCGUCAAACACCUCCUCUUAUCCUAUCCCAAAUGUUUCUCAGCUCUUAAAUGUGAAACUAACGUCCUCUAACUAUCUCCUCUGGAAGGGUAAAAUUCUUCCUUUGUUGAACGGAUUUAAUUUGGCAUCUCACAUCUCUUCUUCUUCUACAGCGCUAGCUAAAACGCUGGCUAAUGAACAAUGGAACCCCGACUACCAACGUUGGUAUUGUCAAGACCAGCUUGUUUUGACGUGGUUAUUUGCCUCAAUUUCAGAAUAGCUGUUACCUCAAGUUGUUGGUUCAGCUACGGCAAAGGAUGCGUGGAUGAAAUUGGAGACCAUUUUCUCGUCUGGAACACGCAUGCAAGUAAUGCAAUUGCGAAAAUAGAUGAAGCAUCUGAAAAAGGGAACAGACUCCAUUGAUUCAUGUAUGAGGAUAGCGAAAACUCUUUUUGAUCAAUUAGAUGUGUUACGAGCACCAGUAACUAAAGACUCCCUGGUCAGUGACAUCCUUGAUGGACUGAGUAGUGAAUAUCGUCCAUUUGUGAGACCAAUUGAAGCAAGAAAUGCUUCCAUUAGUUUUGAUGAGUUAUACGCGUUGUUACUGAGUGAGGAAACUCAGUUGAAAAGUGAUACAGAAUCAGUUACGGCCAACAUCCCUCCAACAGCUCAAAUAGCAACAUCUUUUCCUACCCAGGCAACUUCAAAAGCACGUGGCAAACAGAAAGCCAUGAAUAACCGUAACAGUGCACCUG